rnacentral:rRNA from 1 species
GUUAAAGCUCUUUCAGUUGAAAAGAAAAAGCCGUGACUAAUAAUCAUGGUUCAUGACGGUAUCAACAGAAGAAGCACCGGCUAACUACGUGCCAGCAGCCGCGGUAAUACGUAGGGUGCAAGCGUUAAUCGGAAUUACGUGGGCGUAAAGGGGUGCGCAGGCGGUUCUGUAAGUCAGAUGUGAAAUCCCCGGGCUUAACCUGGGAACUGCGUUUGAAACUGCAGAGCUAGAGUGCGGCAGAGGGAGGUGGAAUUCCAUGUGUAGCAGUGAAAAUGCGUAGAGAUAUGGAAGAACAUCGAUGGCGAAGGCAACCUCCUGGGCUAGCACUGACGCUCAUGCACGAAAGCGUGGGGAAGCAAACAGGAUUAGAUACCCUGGUAGUCCACGCCCUAAACUAUGUCAACUAGUUGUCGGGCCUUAAUAGGCUUGGUAACGUAGCUAACGCGUGAAGUUGACCGCCUGGGGAGUACGGUCGCAAGAUUAAAACUCAAAGGAAUUGACGGGGG